rnacentral:rRNA from 1 species
CCUGCCCUUGGGUCCGGCAUAACCCCGGGAAACUGGGGAUAAUUCCGGAUAACGCAUAUAUGCUGGGAUGCUUUAUGCGUCAAAUGGAUUCGUCUGCCCAAGGAUGGGUCUGCGGCCUAUCAGGUAGUAGUGGGUGUAAUGUACCUACUAGCCGACGACGGGUACGGGUUGUGAGAGCAAGAGCCCGGAGAUGGAUUCUGAGACAUGAAUCCAGGCCCUACGGGGCGCAGCAGGCGCGAAAACUUUACAAUGCGGGAAACCGUGAUAAGGGGACACCGAGUGCCAGCAUCAUAUGCUGGCUGUCCGGGUGUGUAAAAUACACCUGUUAGCAAGGGCCGGGCAAGACCGGUGCCAGCCGCCGCGGUAACACCGGCGGCCCGAGUGGUGAUCGUGAUUAUUGGGUCUAAAGGGUCCGUAGCCGGUUUGGUCAGUCCUCCGGGAAAUCUGACGGCUUAACCGUUAGGCUUUCGGAGGAUACUGCCAGGCUUGGAACCGGGAGAGGUAAGAGGUACUACAGGGGUAGGAGUGAAAUCUUGUAAUCCCUGUGGGACCACCUGUGGCGAAGGCGUCUUACCAGA